GGAAAAGAAAUCAACCGAGAUUCCGAAAGUAGCGGCGAGCGAAAUUGGAUUAGCCCUUAAGCUUUACAUGUGUUAGACGAACGGUCUGGAAAGUCCGACGAUACAGGGUGAUAGUCCCGUAGUUGUAGAUGCAUGUUCAGUGAAAUCGAGUAGGGCGGGACACGUGUUAUCCUGUCUGAAUAUGGGGGGACCAUCCUCCAAGGCUAAAUACUCCUGACUGACCGAUAGUGAACCAGUACCGUGAGGGAAAGGCGAAAAGAACCCCUGUGAGG
rnacentral:rRNA from 1 species